AAAACAUUCAGCUGCUCUGAGUGUGGGAGAAGAUUUAGGACCAAGGAACAUCUGAAGAUACACAUGAUAACUCACACAGGAGAGAAACCUUUCAGCUGCUCAGUCUGUAAGAAAUCUUUUAGACUGAGUAGCCAUUUAAAAUAUCACAUGAAACAACACACAGGAGAGGAAGCGUCUACUUCCUGUGUUAGUGACAUCAGAAAGCAGCAGGAGUGGAGCUCCAGUGUGGACCAGGAGCAGCCAGAGAAUCUCAGCCAGGUUGGAGCUCUCUGAACCAUAGAAAUAAAAUGGAUAGAAAGGCCAUUUCCAUUCAGAUCAACGUAGCAUAAUGGUCAGAGUGGCAGCCAUUUUUAUGUGUACCAUUGCCAUGGUAACGUAUAAACUUCAGCAUAAGCCGACUUCCGGCGAGUUGCGGAGCUGAGUCUAAAUGAGUCAAAUUAACUUCAUGCUUCAUCCACACAAAGUACACUGCUAUCGCCACGAGUAACGGCUUUAUUAGGAUCAUUUUCUGUGAACGAUGUGGCGAGUUGGUGACGUUAAGGCGGAGUUAGCAAGCUAAUGUUAGCCAAAUCACAAGUUGUUCUCCGGCUGGCUGGUUCCGCCGUGCUGCAUUGGUUACAGAGAAUGAGCUGAACAGCGGGCUGGGUGACCGCUGACCCGUUGUCACUGGGUCUAACUGUCCCUUCUCACUCACUGCAACUCCGAGAACAUCUCCCGAGCUGCGUUGGGCGGCUGUCCUCCAAGCGAGCUGCGACACAGAUCACGGCCUCACUGACGUGUAUUGUCACCAUGACAACUUACAACAAUCACCAUUUUGUUGUGUACCAAU